AAACGCCAUGAAACUCAAAAUCUAGUACGGGGAUUUUCCUUAUUUUUUGAAAUUAACAACAAAACUAAUGUAUCCCAACUUUGAUUUCUGAAAACUCAGAUCUCAGAAGCCUCCAAAAGGGCAUGACAACAAACUCAACCUCCUGCCGCCGUCGCCACCGAAACCCACUGCCACCGUCAGGUUUUCUACACAUUUGAUAUAUGCCUGUUACAGCGCAUUUCGUUGAGGCUCAUGGGCGUUACAAAGUCAAAUCAUGAGGUAUUGUCUUGAAGUCUGAAAUGGUUUGCAAUGACUUUGUUCAACUUUUGGUUUAUAUCGAAAAUUGUCUUUUUUAACUAUUGAUAGUUGUUCCAUCAAAGAUGCCAUGAUGCCAAUGUUGUAAAUUUAUUGUUGAUUUGAAUGUCAUGGGUGGAAAAUUCUUUCAUAUACAGUGUUGUGCUCAAAUAUUAGAUUUGAUAAUGAAGGAUGGGAUGGAUGUGAAUGAGCAAGAUGUUGAGAAGAGUUGGGGCAGUACUACCAUUUUGAGAUCAACACCAAACAAGAUUGAAAAUUUUGAGAGCAUUGCACAUCACUUGAACUUUGCAUAUAGUAAGAAAUUAAUGAUUGAUUGUAGAAGUAGAUGGAGUAUAGCAUAUUUGAUGCUUAGUAUUGCUUUUGAAUAUUAAGAUGUUUUUUAUGUACUAAAAAUGUGAGAUGAACAAUAUGAAUGUUUACCUAGGAAGUCAAAGUGGAAGAUGGCAAAAGCAAUUUGCGAACUUUGGAAGUGUUUAAUGAUUUGAUAUACAUGUUUUCAGAGACCAAACAUAUGACAUCUGACUUGUUUUUACUAAUGAUUUUUUGUAUUAUAUUGUUGAUGAAUAAGUGGCUCAAAUUUUCUUAUGAUGAUAUAAAAUGUAGGGCUACCAAAACAAUGACAAGUUUGAAACGUACUGGGAAGUUGUUUAUGGAGUUAUAACCAUGACUAUUAUGUUAGAUCCUAGGUUUGAAAUGCGGUUUAUUGAGUUUAUGUUAUCUAAAAUUUAUACAGAUGAUUCAUAAGGAUCAAGGUUACACAACUUUUAUUCUGAUUUUCAACAGAAGACUAAAUUUGGAGCAGACUAAUUUAAAAGAUGUGUUCAUUCCAUUACUGUAAAUGUUGCAAAAUUUUAGGAAGAAUAUGCCUUGUUUUUGGUGGAUAAAUAUAAUCAUGAGAGGCAACUGAAGUUAGAGUUGGAUAGUUACUUAGAUAAUCCUUUAGAUGAUACUGAGGACUUCGAUAUUUUGACUUGGUGGAAGGCACGCCUGUAUACAUAUCCUCUGUCGUCUCUGAUUGCUAGAGACAUGUUGGCUAUUCCAUAUCCUCAAAGCCGCAUCUCAGUCUCCUUUAAGUAAUGGCAAUGGACUUUUAAGUCCACAUCAUAGUAGACUUCAGCCAGACAUACUGGAGGCUGUAACGUAUACUCAAAAUUGGUUUUGGCUUCAACACCAUGUCAUAUUCUGGAUAAUCAAAUCCCUUCUGGGAUAGAAGUUGAACAUGAUGGACAUCAGAUUGAGUUGAUGCUGUAAUACUCCUGAACUCCUAUAUUGAUCUUUAAUUUUCAUUUUGAUGUGGCGCUUAUUUCUACAAACACUUUGUGGAUAUGGAAGUAGUUUAUGUCGCUAGUUUACUGUUUUAAGAUAAUAUAUUUUAAUAUGUUUGGUGUAAUUUUGUGUUUAUUUUCACAGGCUAUUUCUAGUUCUUGUGCUUACUGAGGCAGGUUUUGACAAGAAAGCUUCAGCUUUCAUCUCAUAAUUCCAUGAAAGUGAUGUCUCUGAAAUCUGAACUUCAUCUAUAA